AGCGAACGCUGGCGGCGUGCCUAACACAUGCAAGUCGAACGUGAAAGGGAGCAAUCCCAAGUAAAGUGGCGUACGGGUGAGUAACACGUAGGUAAUCUACCCCAGAAUCUGGAAUAACCGGCCGAAAGGCUGGCUAAUACUGGAUAGAGCGACGGAAUCCGUAAUUGGGUUUUUCGGGAAAGGGAGCCUGUAAAAAGGCCUUCGUUCUGGGAUGAGCCUGCGUCCCAUCAGCUAGUUGGUGAGGUAAAAGCUUACCAAGGCAAUGACGGGUAGCUGGUCUGAGAGGACGAUCAGCCACACUGGAACUGAAACACGGUCCAGACUCCUACGGGAGGCAGCAGUGGGGAAUCUUGCGCAAUGGACGAAAGUCUGACGCAGCAACGCCGCGUGAGGGAAGAAGGCCUUCGGGUUGUAAAGCUCUGUCGAGUGGGACGAAAAUGCUUGGAGUUCACAGCUCCAGGAACUGACGUUACCACUAAAGGAAGCACCGGCUAACUCCGUG
rnacentral:rRNA from 1 species